UUAAGUGACUGGUCUAACCACCUAGAUUAUAUAUAUAUUUAACUAAAAGGUUUUGUUUAGAAAAAACUUUGAAAACUUAUUUUUGACUUUUUUCAAAAUCAUUUGCUCGAUAAGAUUUCAAAUCUUUUUUCUUCCACUUCUUUUUUAAAACAUUUUUUAAAAAGGUAUUUAAAAGAUAUUCCCUAAUGUGUAAGAUAUCCUUCUGAAUUUGAGUUAUAUGCAAGUUUAGAAAAAUCUUCAUCAACAAGCAUAAUAUCUUUCUAAGUUUAGGAAGAUAUUUUGUAUACGUAAUAAUUUUCAAUGUAUGGUUACCUCAUUAUACUAUAAAUAUAUUUCAACAGUCUCCCAAGUUUUCAAGCCUAUCAAUAAUAAAUACACAAAUAACUAAAGUUAAGAGAGAAAAAAAAAGAGAAACAAGUAUGGCUAAAUCAACUUCUUCACUUGUUGUUGCCAUCAUCUAUCUUAUGAUGUUUUCUUUAGUUGAAGAAAAUAUGGGAUGUGAAGUGGAUUAUGGCUCAUGCAAGGAUAUAGGAAACUGUGAAGUUAUGUGUAUGGUUAAAUUUGGAUCAGCUGCAACGGGUUACUGUGCCGGAGGCUCUUAAACUGGAAGAUGUUAUUGUGAUUUUCCGGGCCCUUGUAUCGGCUGAUAAUAUUCAUAUGUGAUUCAAGCUGUAUUUUGAUUUUUUUUUAAUGAAUUAAGAAAAAAAAACUUAAGUUGAA